CGUGAUAUUGUACCUUGUUGCUUCGGCGGGCCCGCCAGCGUUUGCUGGCCGCCGGGGGGCGACUCGCCCCCGGGCCCGUGCCCGCCGGAGACCCCAACAUGAACCCUGUUCUGAAAGCUUGCAGUCUGAGUGUGAUUCUUUGCAAUCAGUUAAAACUUUCAACAAUGGAUCUCUUGGUUCCGGCAUCGAUGAAGAACGCAGCGAAAUGCGAUAACUAAUGUGAAUUGCAGAAUUCAGUGAAUCAUCGAGUCUUUGAACGCACAUUGCGCCCCCUGGUAUUCCGGGGGGCAUGCCUGUCCGAGCGUCAUUGCUGCCCUCAAGCCCGGCUUGUGUGUUGGGCCCUCGUCCCCCGGCUCCCGGGGGACGGGCCCGAAAGGCAGCGGCGGCACCGCGUCCGGUCCUCGAGCGUAUGGGGCUUCGUCUUCCGCUCCGUAGGCCCGGCCGGCGCCCGCCCGACGCAUUUAUUUGCAACUUGUUUUUUUCCAGGUUGACCUCGGAUCAGGUAGGGAUACCCGCUGAACUUAAGCAUAUCAAUAAGCGGAGGAAA
rnacentral:rRNA from 1 species